CGGCAGCCAUCUUAGCUACGUAGCGAAAGAGGCGGAGCCAGGCUGAGCCAAAGUCGGCGCAUUUCCCACAUUAAUAGAGUCAUUUUGUAGUUUUUAUAGUGUUUAUAGCUUUUUAUAGCUGCUAGGCGUAAAGAGUUCACCGUUCAAAGCGGGAUGUUUUUUCGCGGGGGAGGAGCCACGGCGGCAAACGUGAUCGUAAUUUCCGGGCCUAACUGGGACCCCCGCACCGAAAUUUGGCCCGGUCGGACACCGAGGGCAGGAAGGGGAGGCCCUUCCUGCCUGAAACUUGGCCCAGUCGGACCCCGAGUGCAGGAAGGGGAGGUAGACGACCAAGGAUGAGAGGAGGGAGUGGAGAAGAACAGAGGAUGGACACAGGAUGACCAGCAGCAUCCAGCACAAUGCACAGUCUGCAGAAGGACCAGGGUCUUAGCACAUGGGGACUGUGUAUCAUUGCUGUUAAAUUGUAAUAUCAAAAUCAAAAUUGUAUUUACUUUUAAGACUUUGCAGAAAGCCCAUCAUUCAGAC
ensembl:lncRNA